GACUACUUCCGGUGCAGUGAAGGCUCGGGGCUGAAGCGGGGUAAUUCCUCUCCUGCAAUUACUUUUGGAUGGAAGUAUGCCCCUUUCUCAGUAGAAGAUGGUAAUCUUGGAGAAUGACCAUGGAGAAGGGGAUGAGUUCUGGAGAAGGGCUGCCUUCCAGAUCAUCUCAGGUUUCGGCUGGUAAAAUAACAGCCAAAGAGUUGGAAACAAAGCAGUCCUAUAAAGAGAAACGAGGAGGCUUUGUGUUGGUGCAUGCAGGUGCAGGUUAUCAUUCUGAAUCCAAAGCCAAGGAGUAUAAACAUGUAUGCAAACGAGCUUGUCAGAAGGCAAUUGAAAAGCUGCAGGCCGGUGCUCUUGCAACUGACGCAGUCACUGCAGCACUGGUGGAACUUGAGGAUUCUCCUUUUACAAAUGCAGGAAUGGGAUCUAAUCUAAAUCUGUUAGGUGAAAUUGAGUGUGAUGCCAGCAUAAUGGAUGGAAAAUCCUUAAAUUUUGGAGCAGUUGGAGCACUGAGUGGAAUCAAGAACCCAGUCUCGGUUGCCAACAGACUCUUAUGUGAAGGGCAGAAGGGCAAGCUCUCGGCUGGCAGAAUUCCUCCCUGCUUUUUAGUUGGAGAAGGAGCCUACAGAUGGGCAGUAGAUCAUGGAAUACCCUCUUGCCCUCCUAACAUCAUGACCACAAGAUUCAGUUUAGCUGCAUUUAAAAGAAACAAGAGGAAACUAGAGCUGGCAGAAAGGGUGGACACAGAUUUUAUGCAACUAAAGAAAAGAAGACAAUCAAGUGAGAAGGAAAAUGACUCAGGCACUUUGGACACGGUAGGCGCUGUGGUUGUGGACCACGAAGGGAAUGUUGCUGCUGCUGUCUCCAGUGGAGGCUUGGCCUUGAAACAUCCGGGGAGAGUUGGGCAGGCUGCUCUUUAUGGAUGUGGCUGCUGGGCUGAAAAUACUGGAGCUCAUAACCCCUACUCCACAGCUGUGAGUACCUCAGGAUGUGGAGAGCAUCUUGUGCGCACCAUACUGGCUAGAGAAUGUUCACAUGCUUUACAAGCUGAGGAUGCUCACCAAGCCCUGUUGGAGACUAUGCAAAACAAGUUUAUCAGUUCACCUUUCCUUGCCAGUGAAGAUGGCGUGCUUGGCGGAGUGAUUGUCCUCCGUUCAUGCAGAUGUUCUGCCGAGCCUGACUCCUCCCAAAAUAAGCAGACACUUCUAGUGGAAUUUCUGUGGAGCCACACGACGGAGAGCAUGUGUGUCGGAUAUAUGUCAGCCCAGGAUGGGAAAGCCAAGUUGGCCAGCGCAGAAGCUUAUUGAAUUUAUUUACCUUUUCAGAGUUUCCCUUUAAGCACUACUUUUGCCUCAUCCUACAAAUUUUGGUGGCUGUGGACCUGGCAAAAACUACAUUUCCCAGCAUCCACUUCAUCUGAGUGCGACCAUAUGACACAAUUCUGCCCCAUGAGGAGUAAGUGGAAGGUUCUGGACAGAACUGCUGCAAAGGAGUUUUCAGAUUCGGUUUUGCCAUUUGCCUUUCUCUCUUCCACUUUGUCCUGCCUGAAAUGAGGAAACAAGGCUUGACGUGAAAUGAGGCGGCUGGCAGGCCUGAGGAUGGAGGCUGUAGUCUAAGCGUGGCUGACUGGACAGAUGGUGGGCUUAGGUCCCUGAUAGUAUUAUGGAGCUAUCACGCUGGUCCUGGAAUGGUGACCUCCAUAUGUCUUUUACUGUUAUCAUUAAUCUUAAUGUUAACAUUGACAAUGCUGCAGUACCAGUAGCAAUGUGCCCUCUUGGGAUUUUAAUUUCUGAGUUGUGAUGACCCAGAAAAUUAUAAAGGUUUUGCCAUUGAAAGUAAUGGCAAAAACCGCCAUUACUUUUGCACCAACCAAAUACUAUCACAAUUGCAAGAGGUUUUUCCUCACCAAAAGGAACCAGCAUUCCUUGGACAAAUGGAUUGAGUGCAGAGCUUGGGCGGGGAAGGCACAGAUGAAUUUGGGAUACUUUCCUGCAACAAGAAGCAAGGAAGCUUUCGAUGAUUAACAGGGUACUCUUGAAAGAACACAGGAGUCAGCUUGACAGGCCCCCAUUGCUCACAGAUCAGAGAAUUUGGACAAAAAGAUUGUACUUGACUGAUGUACACUGAAUCUAUCAAAAUCCAUAAGGAUACUCAUGAAGGAGAGAAAUCCAGAAAACCUACUGUUACCAUUUGAGGUAGGUAUUAUAAAACUCCUUCCUUUGCAAAUUGGUAUUAAAAAGAAAGAAAGGUUUUCAGAGGAAGCAAUGUUUGAACUGAAAUAAAAAAGGCUUGUAAACGUACAGCAGAUGCAUCAGGUUAAGAGAACAGGGAGCUGGGGAGGGGUUCAGGAGCUUUGCAAUCUUGGUGAAGGAGUCUCUCAGGUCUGACAGAGCUGUGGUUUAUAGAUCCAAAGGGUUUCAGAGCUGAAAUGUGGUGAGAGUAACGAUCAGAGACACCUGCUGUUUUCAUAUGAAAUAACAGAGUUAAAUAUUAUACACAUCGGGCCCAACGCACAGUCUUAGCCCACCAGCCUUUGGUCUGACAGCCUUCUAUCACACUGCGCUGUGACUUGUCCACUAGGCUACCACUUCUCUGGUAGCAUCCUCUGGGGCACUUGGAGGUUUGCUGAAGCUACAUGGUGCUGGGAUCUCAUCCCUCCUUCCUCAUUCUCAUCAGCUGGCCCUGGAUGCCCUUGGGAAAGCUCUGCUGAGAUGAAUCAAGAAGAGAAAACCUCUCAUCUUUAGGCUGGGUGCAGUUUUUCUCAGAUGACAAAUCCACACGUUUUAAUCACUUGUGUCCUUUAUACUGAGUACAUCCUGGUCCAACACCAAGAAUGUCCAAUCACUGCCUCCAGCCACUGCAUAGCUGGCGUUGCUCAUCGUGGCUGUGUUUGUGACCAAGGUGGAUGGCCAUAGCCACAUCUAGGGUCAGAGUGGUCAGAAUGGCCAGAGUCCCCCAGCUGGUCAUUUGACACAGGCAGAUGAAUACAAAAGAGAGGGAGUGAGGUUUUUUGGACAACCAAGCCACAGGGCAAAUUAGGAUGAGCACUACAAUAGGAGGAAGAUAAAGCUAUGGAAAUGAGUGAUGCAUCCUCUUUUGGAAAAAAUGUGCUAAGCAUCAUUGUCCCAGUCUGCAAAUAGCCACCUGCCCUAUUCUGCAAACACCAACCAAGGACUGGAAUCUGAAGAACAGGGUUGAUUUCACCACUUUCAGAACCUCCAGAAGAGGCACAAAUCAGUAACAAAUUGUGGCUGUCUAGGAAAGUUUAGUACUUUUUCUCUUUAAGGCAAAAACUGGUAACUAUUCCCCAGAUUAACACAAUCAGGCAGACUUCUUGAAGGCAGACUGGCUGGCAAAUUUCUGAAAGGCAAAGAACAGGCCCUGUCUUCAGUCUCCAAACUCCCUCCUCCUUCCCCCAGUUUCACAAGCUCAGGGGGCAACAAAUAAGUACUAGUUGAUGAUAAUGAUGGCUAAAGUUAUCAUUGGGUAACGAGGGCCUAGUUAGAUUUUAUUUUAAUUAGGCUCAGGCUACAGGCCUCAUUACCCCUAAUGUGGCUUUUAUGUGGGAUUCUAAAGAAAAACAAAAAAACCCUAGGAAUCUUCUACUGAAGAUAUUAAAGAAGAUAUUAUUAGCAAUGCAUUUGGUCUCAUAGACUUUGAACAACAAACAACAGAGAUUAUAAUUAAUGUCACUACAGCCUCUCUCCUUAAAACAAACUAACAAUAUAGUUAAUUAGCAAUAUAUCCUCAUUUGGGGCUGGACAUCUGCAUAUUAUUAUCGACAAUGCUUGUUUCCUUUUUCCAGAUGAAAGGAAGCCAUACUGCACCCAGGCACAUGGCUGUGCGCCUUCCACAUUCAAACACUCCAUUUUCUUCUACCCACAAUAAACACACUCGGGGCUUUAUCUGUGCCGAGCAUCGAUUUUGUCUGGAACAGUUCCACACAUCUAAAAAUAAGUUCAAGAAUGCCACUAGUGGUAUUUCAAAGGGAAGAGCAAAAGUUUUGCCAUUUGAAGAGAUAAAAGAAGAAAAUGGCACACUGAUUAUCUUUAACAUGAUUGAGGAGCAAGCACUCCUAAGAUGAGAAAACCAGGAGAAUGAAUAAAGUGAGUUUUAGACCAUAAAAUCGGCUUUCUAGAAGGGGCACACUUGUUCUUAGUGCUCAGGAAGAUGGAUGGAGACCACGAUCCUAGGAGUGGAAGCAGGGGGUGGUGGGGGGCUUGUUGGGACUUAUUCUGAGAAGUGUUGGAAAGAGGCAGCCAGGAUGCACUGGGGAAAAACUGCACUGUGAAGACACAGAUGACAAGGCUGACCAGCUGCUGCUCUCAUGAAGCCUGUGUAUGAUGGCAAUCAUUCCCCUUCAGGCAGCAGGAACAGAGCAAAUGUCAAUGGCCGUAUUUUAUAGCAAGCAUGACAGUGCAAUGCCCCUUUAGGAACUAUUGCUGGCAGAGGGGAAACGGCCAUACGUAUGCUUCAGUCUUUGCUGGGCACUCUGACGACAGCCCUGAGAGCCAGUGACACAGGUACAUCAUGGGCUCAAGAAUUCAGGAGGGUCUCAGUCCUGGUUUGGGAAUGGAGCCUGCUGUCACGGUCUGACUAAUAGCUGAGGAAUCCCUAGUUAUGGCGGCAGAAUGUAUCAUAACGAUGUUUACUUUAGGGCUUGGCAGUGACCUCGUUUAUUAUCUCAGGCUUUAGAAGAAAUGAAGAAUGGGCAACUCUUUGCAUUUGGGUAGGGAGCUGGCUUUGAGGUGGAGGGGCCACCCAUCCCUGUGUAUCUCUCCUCAUUGAAGGUUCUUGGGGCCGGCUGACAAAAUGGAGAUCAACACUUCACUGGUGUGUCUUGAAUACUUCUGUAAACUGCUUUGAUCUUGAAAAUGUGCAGAUUAUUGGUGAAUUUUUUCAAGUUGUGCUUUCUCCAUUGCUGGCAAAGAAAACAGAGUGGUAGCUUUUCCAGGACCGAUUUCUUUUAUGUCCUGUUAGGCUAAAGAAUGAACUGAAAUGAAGGAUAAAUUAUUCUUUCAAGUGUAAGAAAACAUGUAAGAAGCAGAGUACACGAGUGGAAAGUGAGUUAGGCCAAAAAAAAAAAGAAAAAGAAAAACAAACCCUUCACACAUCACCUAAAACAUCCCUGCAAAUGUAGAGAGAUGGAGAAAUCAUACUUUCCAGAACCACUUUGAUAAAGCCCUUGUGGUGUGAGGCCAGCCAUCCUCAGCAUCCAGUUAAGGGCAAGGCUUUCUAUCAGCCUUCCAGGCUGCAGCUAACCAGCUCAGGGCUAUAAAGGCCAGGCCACCAGUGGCCACCAGGGGGCUUCCAUCCCUCCUCUUCAGCCCUGUUAGAGUUCAGCCACCCCUUUAAGUCAAACUUUGAGCAAAUAUUUAAUGAGUGUGGAUUAUUGGUGAUUUUCCAAGUUGUGCUUUCUCCAUUACCGGCAAAGAAAACAGAGUGGUAACUGUCUAGGACUCGGUUUCCAGGACCCAAUUUGAAGAGGCACCAGAUCAUUAGUGCACCUAAAAGGCCCAAGUAUCUAAGUCCUCCUACGACCAGAGGGAACGGGUGUCGAACAGGACACCAGAAGGCGAACAUCUCCUGCAGUGAUUCUGUGUCUCCCUGCAUAGAAUGAGGGGAUAUAAGGCCCAGGCCAAGGCUGGUGUUCUGUUGGUGAGAGGGAGAACCUGGAAAUUAAGCCAAAGGACAUGGAUGGCAGAGUUCAGAAGCUGAGGUCUGGGGUAGGGGUGGCCUAGGGACCCUUGCCAAGUUAUUAUCCUAAUUAAGGAGAUGGAUUCUUCUCAACACUAAAGUUAAGAACCCUCAUUGAAACCUAUUGCUAAUCUCUCUGCUCCAAGUACUUCUAAAAUGGGUUUCAAAGGUCAUUGGACGUUAACCUUGGAAUCCUGAAAAGGGUUCAGGGUACUGUGGAAAGGACUGGGGCCAGGAGUUUCAAGGUCUGGGUCUGGGUCCCAGCAUUGCCUCUUCCUGUUUUGUGAGCUUUGGUAAGUUAUUGCACCUCUGCACUUAUGGUAGACUGGUUGGCAAAAAUGUCCACAAAUUCUUCUUUUCUCUAAAGAUCCACGCCUCAGGUAGUUGCUUCCACACUCUUUGAGCUUCUUUUUUCUUUUUUUUUUUUUUGAGACAGAGUUUCACUCUUCCCUCUUGUUGCCCAGGCUGAAGGGCAAUGGCGCGAUCUCGGCUCACUGCAACCUCUGCCUUCUGGGUUCAGGCGAUUCUCCUGCCUCAGCCUCCAGAGUAGCUGGGAUUACAGGUGCCCACCACCACCACACCUGGCUAAUUUUUUAUAUUUUUAGUAGAGACGGGGUUUUACUAUGUUGGCCAGGCUGGUCUUGAAUUCCUGACCUCAGGUGAUCCACCCAACUCAGCCUCUCAAAGUGCUGGGAUUACGGGCAUGAGCCACUGUGCCUGGCCUUCUUUGAGCUUCUUACUGCGGCCAAAGGGACAACAGUUAACAGAGACUUGAAAAGCACUUGUGCCUUAGGAUUGCCUAUUUUUUUUUGCUCUUUGGAAUGCUGAGAACACUCGGUGAAGAAGGCCAAGCUAGCCUGUUGAAUGGUGAGAGACGUGUGCAGCAGAGAUAAUUUAUACCAGAUUCACCAGCCUGCCAAUGGCCAGUCACUCAGAUGGAGACUGUCCUAGACCAUCCAGCCCUGGCUGAGCCUCCCCAGGCUAUGAGAGCCACCCUGCUGACCCAGAGAGUCAUGAGAAAUAAUAAAUCCUUGCGGGUUUAAGCUAGUGAACCCAGUGUGGUUUGUUACACAACAAAAGCUGACUGAUAUAGGACCUUGGUUAUUUAUUCUGUGAAAUGACCAUGGUGAGGUAGAAUGAGAGUUGCAGAAAGCCUCUCACUCUAUUCAGCUCUGACUUCCUCGGAAUGGAAUCCUAAAGAGACACUUGUUCUGGAGAAAUUAUUUCACACUAACUUCAAAAAAAAAAAAAACUCCACUUUAUUCCAAAUGCUGAAAACAUCAAAUUGAGGGUGGGGAGAUUAAAUAAAAAUCCAGUGGUUCACAAAUGCAUGAAAUGUAGAUUCUAUCUGCAAUGACUAGAACAUCUUCUCCUUUCUCUCUAUCCUUCUACCUGUUAGCUCAAAGCUGGGUAAAACCUGUUGGAAAAUUCCAAAGCCCUGCCAACGACUUUCUUCACUGACAGGUGCUUUUUUGGUAAUAGCUUCAUUGCCAGUUUUUCAAAGACUCGAAGCUGAGACUUAACAGUUCUCCUUUGUGCUUUCAUGAUGCACCUGUACAGCUCUGUGUGCUACUAGAAACUAGUAAUGCCCAUUUAUUAACAGGACCCCCCGACACUGUAAAACAAUUAUAGAGCUGUCAUAGGCCACAUAUGGCCAGAGGUGAAGAGAAAGCUCCUGCCACCGGCACCUGUUCCCUUUGCCACCUGCCUGUACAGAUUGUUCCUGUUUGGACUGCUGUUCUGUUAUUCUCUAGGGAAAUGGUGUGAUUCCUGCUUGGAAAACUGGCAGCUGAUGCAAUUGUGGGCUCUUGACUUAGCUUAGCUAACCUUUCUCUAUAGGAAGCUGGGCUGUUAGCUCUAUUCAUGGAUUCAUUCAACAAACACUCCAUCGAUAUUUAUUAUGUAUCAGGUACUGUGCUAGGGUGAGACAGUGCCAAUAGCACAUGGCUUGUUAAGACAACUUUUCCAAAACUUGGAAAUGAAGCAAAAGGAUGACUGCAAGUUUAUCACUUAGUAUUGGGGCACAGGCCUGCCCCAAAGUAUUUAAUUCUGUAGGAGCAUGUAUCUUCACUUGGCUUAUUAUUUCCUAUUGAUUAGGGCCCAGACUAAAAGUUACAUGUUAACUUAUAGAUUUUCAUUCUGUAGAUAUAGAAAUGUUUUUGUCUAGUAGAAACAAUAACUCAGUGCUAACUGUUUUAUGGCUCUACAGGACAUUAAUCAGUCUUAUUUAUGUUUACACACUUACUUCAUCAUCAUUUUCCCCACUAACUUUAUAAACAUCUGUUUCUCAAAUGCUCUGAGAUGUCAUUAGCAUCUUCCUUUUCUUUCAUUCAUUUAGUUAAGUAGUUGACAUGUGCUUUUUCUUUAUUUGUAUGAGAUUCACAUUUUUAAUAUUAUGAAAAUUUUAUUUGGACAGUUUUUGUCUUCAAAUUUAGAUUACAGAGGGGAAGUUAAGAAAUGCUUGUAUCCAUAUAAAAUGCAAAGUAGAAAGUGGGAAAUUCUGAAGGAGUGGAAGUUUUCAAUGUAAGGAAGUAAAAUUAUCUAGACUCCUUUUGUUUUUGUUUUUUUUUUUUUGAGACAGAGUCUCACUCUGUCGCCCAGGCUGGAGUGCAGUGGUACGAUCUCGGCUCACUGCAACCUCCGCCUCCUGGGUUCAAGCGAUUCUCCUGCCUCAGCCUCCCAAGACUGGGACUACAGGCGCAUACCACCAUGCCUGGCUAAUUUUUGUAUUUUUAGUAGAGACGGGGUUUCACCAUGUUGGCCAGGCUGGUCUUGAACUCCUGACCUCAGGUGAUCCACCCGCCUCGGCCUCCCAAAGUGUUGGGAUUACAGGCAUGAGCCAUUGCGCCCGGCCCAGAUUCCUAAUUAUGAUACCACAGCUCGCCAUCUGUAAGGUUUUAACAUCACCAUGUUAUGCUCUCUCACCUUCUUUAAGAGGCCCCUAUCCGGAUGUUGGUCUAAUGCACUGACAAGCCGGAACCAGUAUGGAGAACCACGGCUUGUGAGCAGGACUUCCCUUGGGUUUGUCCUCCUGUGAGGGUCCUUAUGGGGAGAACAGAAGGCCAUGCACCAGAAGGCACCCAAACUCCUUUCGAACACUUCAUUUUUCCCCGAUACAAUUCCCUAUUCUGAUCCUAGAGAAACAGCUCCUCCCAGUGUUGUUCUCACCAACGAGAAUUCUACCAUGAGAACCUCAGUUAACUGAGGUUCGAGAAAAGAGAAUCACAAGUUCUCAGAGGCUUUCUUUUGGGAUGUGGUCAUGAAGGGGGAGAUGUUCAACAGAGAACAUGUUUACUAUUCUCCUCAAUAUAAACCUCAUAAUAUUAGGAUGUAUCAGUUUGAGUCUGAGCAGGGAAUGAAUGGCACCCUCCAAGUGGGUAACUAAGGAGAGCUUAAUAAAGGAACAAUUUAACAUAUCUGGACAAAGUGCCCAGAAACCACCAAGGAUGCUCUAGUAUCCAGGGCCAGUAAAGCCAGGGAGAGCUCACAUCUCCAGGCCUGAAGAUGCAAGGACAGGGAGAGGCUACUGUUAACCAAAGGGAAAGAGAGAGCUGUGGGGUUGGAAGUAAGGUGGGCGUUCAUUUCCUGCCAUGCCUAACAUUGGCCAAACCCAAUCAGAAGCUAGACAGCAAGGGAGCCUGUUGAUGUAAUACAUGCAGAUCAUGUGCCCAAGAAAUAAAUAGGAUGGAGAAAGGUGGAACAUGGAUUGAGAGAGGUAAACGGAAUGUUUGGGGGACACAGGUAUGCUUGGGAGAAAUAGCAGCUAUAAUACCACCCGUUCCAGGCACUAUACAUUAAAUCUGGUCUCAUGACAUCCAUGUGAGGUAGACAUGAGUGCCCCUCUUCCACAGAUAAGGAAAUUAAGGCUGAGAGGCCCCUAGAUAGUAAGUAGGCUAUGAAAUCCUUGCUCCUUUCACUGUACGGUGCUGUCCUAAUUUCUACCCUGGAGCUGGUUAGAACAAGAGAGUCUGCAGCCACUUUGAAUUCCCUGGCCUCCCCUAAAUGCUGCUCGGCUCCAGAAUAACAGUUCUCAGAGGACUGGCUCAAGAACACUGGCCCACAGUACACUGUGGAUUUAAUUCUCAACUCUGCUCCCUGACUUGGUUUGGUAGGGGAAGUCCUGGCCUCAUUUUUUUUUUUUUUAAGGAAAAUACACAUCUAGAUAACAGUCCACCCCAACACUGCUUUACUUGUGCAGUGUAAUGACUUUUUAGGGUUAAUCAGGUCUCGUCAACAAAACCCAUAGAUAUAGUGAUGAUAAAAACAAUGGAUUAUCACUGAUUCGAGAGGGGAGAAGUUAGGAAUGAAAUGGCACAUAGUACACUAUGUAAACAUGAGAGCUAUUCAGUGGGUCAGAUGAGGCAGAGAACUGAGGAAGACGCAGAGAACCAGGCCCUGCAACCUUCACCUCCCAGGUUCAAGUGAUUCUCCCACCUCAGCCUCCCUAGUAGCUGAGAUUACAGGCAUCCACCACCACGCUUGGCUAAUUUUUUUGUAUUUUUAGUAGAGACAGGUUUUCACCAUGUUGGCCAGGCUGGUCUCAAACUCCUGACCUCAGAUGAUCCUCCCACUUUGGUCUCCCAAAAUGCUGGGAUUACAGGCAUGAGCCAUCGAGCCUGGCCGAUACUCUCUUAAAGAAGCCAAGCUUCUCUGUUACUGUUAUUUUAUUUUCCAGCCAAUAAGACAUACAGGAAAAUAUAGUGUUUGAAAAAAGAGGAGCUUCAUGUUGAGCAUGUUAUUUCCCUGUGGCUCGAGCUUUCUCACCAGUAAAAUGGGUAGCAUCUGUGUGGUAAAAACACUUCUUUUCUCCUCUUUAUUAUUCUCUUCUCUCAUUAGACUUUUCUAGCACUCACUUUCACAUUGUUACAUUUUCUCUUCACUGUUUUUUCCCCUCAGGCCCAGCUCCUAUCUUCCCUAGUGACAGCCACACCUCCACCUCCUCCACCUUUUUCAAAUGUCCUCUCCAUGCCAGCCUUGCUCAAACACUUUUACGUAUCACUUCUACCGAUUGGCUUUCAAAGCUUCCCACUGGGUGGAUAUAAUUAUCAUCACCCCCAUUGUACAGAUGAGAAAACUGAGGUUUGGAAUCCUGCCAAAGUCACCUGGCUCAUACUUACUAGGGGUGUAAACAGCUGUCGGGGAGAGUGAAUACCUCUUCCAACAAUCUCAGUGUAAAGAGAGUGCUCAGAAUACAGAGAAAGGACCAACACCACCAUUGCCAGCCUCUCCAAAAAGGUCCACCUUGAGGAUGGAAGACGUGGUCAGUGUUUCAGUCAUUUGAUUUUAAAGCCAUUUUAUCUCCAUGAUCCCAUGAUCCCCUAUUAAAAUACAACUAGUCCUGAGAAUAGUCAUGCUGGACCUGCCUGGUGGGGGCAGGGCACAAGAUGGGUUUUGGGAUUCAACUCUCCAUUUUUACAAAGCAUAAUCUAGAGGAUCUUUUUUUUUUUUUUUUUUUUUUUGAGACGGGGUCUCACUCUGUUGCCCAGGCUGGAGUAUGAUAGUGCAAUCUAGGCUCAGUGUAACCUCCACCUCCUGGAUUCAAGUGAUUCUCCUGUCUCAGCCUCCUGAAUAGCUGGGAUUACAGGCACCCGCCACCACGCCUGGCUAAUUUUUGUGUUUUUAGUAAAAAUGGGGUUUCACCAUGUUGGCCAGGCUGGUCUCAAACUCCUGACCUCAGGUGAUCUGCCCACCUCAGCCUCCCAAAGUGCUGGGAUAACAGGCAUGAGCCACCACGCCUGUCCUCUAGAGGAUCUUUGAAGAGGAAGGUGGCACAAGCCAGGGCCCAGGACACAGGGUUUCGAACUCCCAGCCUGAUGCUCUCCUACUGGCUGCUUGGGUAUCACUGCCUGGUGGAUCUUCACGGUUUUCCAUGACUAAAUUACAAAUGGUCUUUCCCUCUUUAUAACUGCAGUCACACCAAAAAAAAAAACCCCAGGAACUUUACUAAAUAUCCUCUGAAUGAAUGAAUGGCUGGUUGGUGGGCUGAAUGAACAAACAGGAUUUCAAAGCCUGAUAGGCAGGGGCACAGCGGACCCCUUGUAGUUUCACUUAGGUCUACCAUGCCAUGUACAUUGUACAAUUUGUGCAUGGUGCAAAGAUGUCUGAUGAGGGGGCAAGUAAUGGCUGAAGUUGAGAAUGAAGGAAGUGAUAUUGUCUUCCCAGAGGGAAUGACUUGUUGUAAUUCAUAUAGAGGCUUAUAAGUGCUAAUAGAUGCCCUAGUGUCGCACUUCUUUCUGUCUACUCUACCUGCAAAGUCUUUCCUUCCCUUAUCCACAUAGAAAACUCCUAUGCAUCCUUUAAAACCUUAUUUAGAUACUGCCUUCUCUGUAAACCUUCCCUGAUCUUCAGCAGAGUUAAUCCCUCCUUGCUCCUCAUUACUUCUCUACCAUAUAUAUACUUCUUUUCUUUUUCUAUAAAUUAUUAGACAUUUACUUAUUUUUGUCCAGUUUCUGGCUAAAAACACACACACAAAUAAUGACUGAACUGUAAACUCAACUGUACAAUGGGGUAAAUUACAUUAGCCAUGUUAACAUCUUCAAGUCCCUUAUUACUUGCUAACAACAAAAAGAGCAUUUUAUCCAUUUUUUCAAAUUCCUCUGCCACUGUCCUAGUCCAGGUUGCCAUCAUUCUCUCUUCUAUCCUUCAAGUCUCAGCUUAAAUGUCACCUCCAGAGAGAGAGGACUUCCCUGAUCAUCUUAUAUAACCAGUGUUCUUUCCCACCCUUUAAAAGCUCCCCUCUAUCAUUCUGCUUAUUUAAUUUGUAGUAUUUGUUAGCUGAAAUUAUUCUAUUUAUGGGCUUUCUUCUGUGUUGUGGCCCCUACCAGGAUGUCAGAACCAUGAGGCAGGGACCGUGUCUGUUCUGUCACUUCUGUGCCUCAGCACUUGGCCUAGAGCCCAGUACAGAGUAGGACCUCACUAAAUGCUCUCUGAAUGAAUGGAAGGGACAAUGAAUAGAUGGAAAAGGAAGGAAUGACAAACAGGAUUUCAAUGCCCAAUAAGUGUGGCCACAGUUGACUCCUCCUACAUCUCUCGAACCAUGUGUGGAUUCUGGGAUGUGGAAGGAUGAGAAGAAGCUCUGGCAGAGGUGGAAAAGUUCUCCCUGGCUCUGUUCCUGUGUUGGCCCUUACCUGUGUGGUGACCCCGAGUCCUGGCACAGGAUGGCACAGUCAUCUGCCUCUGAGUGAUAUCAUGGGUAGUGCCCAGCUUCUCCCUUUGCCCAGAGAGAGAAUAUAGAGACUGUGCUGGAGGUACCAACAGCUCUUGCCACCUGCCUGUGACCAAGUCACCACUGAGCACCCAGCAAGUGCACCAAGGAGCAGCCCUGGCAAAGCAACAGAGAGCAGCAGGGGUUUAGGAAGCAGGUGCAGAAAUGAGGCUCAGCAGGAGAUGCGGGGGGCAGGUAUUUUGCUCUCUUGAAUUCAAUUCUGAUUCUGAACAUUUUCUGAAUCUGCUUGCUUUUCUUCAAAGUCAAAUAUGAAUUCAAAUAUUUUCUAUUUGUAUAUACAUCUGUUUAUACUUAUAUAUACACAUAUUUAAAGUAUAUGUAUAUGGUUAUAUAAAUAUAAAUAUAUAUUUGCAGAUAUAAAUACACAUUUGCUUUAUUUAUUUAUUUAUUUAUUUUUGAGAUGGAGUUUUGCUCUGUCGCCCAGGCUGGGGUGCAGUGACGUGAUCUUGGCUCACUGCAACCUCCCCCUCCUGGGCUCAAGUGAUUCUCCUGCCUCAGUCUCCCAAGUAGCUGGGAUUACAGGCAUGUACCACCAUGCCUAAUGUUUGUAUUUUUUUUUUUUUUUUUUUUUAGUAGAGAUGAUGGGGUUUUGCCAUGUUGGCCAGGCUGGUCUUGAACUCCUGACCUCAAGUGAUCCGCUCACCUCGGCCUCCCAAGGUGCUGGGAUUAUAGGCAUGAGCCACUGUGCCUGGCCCAUAAAUACACAUUUAUAAGUGUGUUUUUAUGUGUGUGUAUAAACAUACACACACACAUAUAUAUAUAUAUAUGGAUAUGGAUGUGUAUGUGUUAUUUUAAUUUUAGCUUUUUUUUAAAUUUUAAGAUAUCUGAACUAGCCCAUUGUUUCCUAGCUGAGCUCACAGAAAAACUGAUAAUGAUACUGAGUUAUUAAUUUAAUUCAUGUGUUCUCAAAAUGGGGGCCCCAGGCCAGCAGUGUUGGAAUCGCCUGGAAAUGUGUUUAAAAUGCUGAUUCUCGGGUCCUAUCCCCUGUGGAAUCAGAGCUUCUGGGGUGGGGCCCAGCAGCAGGUGUUUGAGCAAGGCCUCCUGGCGAUUCUCUGCAGGCUCACAUCUGAGAACCUCUGCUCUCACCAAGAGAAGGUGAGGAACAGUGGCUGAUAGUCGGUAAGGAGCUAUCAUUCUGAAUGGUACUUUGGCAAUGGGAGAUGCUUUCCAGGAAACACAGCGCUCUCAAAGAGUGCACUUUUAUCUUGGAAAAGCACAAUCAGAUCAACAGCGAAUGAGCUCCAAGGCCUCCCAUCCAGCAUGGGGAGACCCUCUGAGUGGUCACCCACUCCUCAGGAAUGCCCCUAUGAUAACACCGUGAGGGAAGGCAGAGCUCCUCACCCUCUGGGUCCCUGGGUGAAGGAAGCUGCACACUGAGCAAGUGACAUAAGAGAUCAACACGCAGGGUGAGAAGAUCAAAAACCCUGAAGGUGGAGGAUGAACUGUGAGACUUGGUUCCUUCCUGCUUUUCCCUGUGCCAAUAAAUGCUAGCUUUGCCAGGUCUGCUUGGGUAGCAAGUACCCCAAAUGGAGCAGCAACAGGCCUCCAACUGAUUUCUCCCUCGCUGUGUGUCUGUCUCUAAUUAAGCCACACAGGUCCAUGGGGAAGGACAGGUUGGUUCCAGAUUGGCUAAUGGAUGAGAUAAACUUUUCUAGCUCAGAGGUCUGGCAGAAGAUUAAGUGAGAUCUGAGAGGGGGGGCUGGGGACCCCAGGUGGGCCUAAGAGAGAGGAGAAAUUAUCUGUCAGUAAAUGAGAGAAGUGGGAAGACAGAAGGUGAGAGACAAGAGAGAGUGGAGAAAAACAGUUUCCUUCAGUUGCCCCAAAGGCCAAGUUACUAUCAUCAUGGUUUUAAGAUGGCUCCUCUUUUUUUUUUUGAGACAGAGUCUCGCUCUGUUGCCCAAGCUGGAGUGCAAGUGGUGCAGUCUUGGCCCACUGUAACCUCUGUCUCCCGUGUUCAAGCGAUUCUCCUGCCUCAGCCUCCUGAGUAUCUGGGACUACAGGUGCACGCCACCACACCCAGCUAAUGUAUUUUUGUAUUUUUAGUAGAGACGGGGUUUCACCAUGUUGGUCAGGCUGGUCUUGAACUCCAGACCUCAAAUGAUCCGCCUGCCUUGGCCUCCCAAAGUGCUGGGAUUACAGGUGUGAGCCACUGUGCCCAGCCAAGAUGGCGCCCCUUUAUACUGAAAAGCUCUCUGAUGCUGCAAAAGCCUCCCCACGAUGAACCCAUCAGCAAGGAUAAAUCUCAGACCAUCCAACACCUAACUUUUACUUUUCCUGAUUAAAGCAAUGAUUCAUGUAUGAAGGUGAAGAAGGACAAUCUAAUUGUUCCCAGCAUGUACACAGCAGCCAUCAUCAAAGCCAAAUGGUCCCUACUCCAAGGAAAAAGCAUAACUUCCUGAGCUGCAUUCAUUCACCAUCUCCCUUGUGCACUUGCUCGUUGCUCUUCCAGGGACAUCUUCCAGAAAAGAGGCCUGAGGGAUCCAUUCACACUCUUGUGUCUUAAGGCUCCGUAGACAGGGCCAACUGCUGCCAAGAAUCCAACCCAAGAAAAUGCUCUUUUCAGAUAAAUCUCACAGCCCCCAACUGGAAAGCUCAUGUAGCAACCAGAGCUUUGCUUUCCUCCAGCAAAUUUAUACCUCAGCCUGUGAAAAUGUCAUUUGCUUGCUUGCUUCAGCUUGGACUCUCUCACUUACUCCCCAAGUCUGCAGAUAUACAGAUUGACUUUUAAGGUAGAGCCAAACCCAUUUUUAACCAGAGUCCUGGGUAUUCAGUUACUAAGAGUUCGGCUCCAAGUUCUAAGUGCUCACCCUCCCCAGUGGCGUACAGAAAAGUCACACGGUAAGCAAAAAGUUCUCCAACAUGGCAUGCUAUACAAACUUAUGAAUGGCUUCUUUCAACAUCCUGACUUUUGAAAGCAGGCUUGAGAAGGUCAGAAGAUAGAGUCUGUUGCAACUCUUGCUUGCUCUCUGACCAAAGGAAAUAUAUUUCUAGCUCUAGCUUCUCCAAAGAGAAAGUCUUAUGAUCUCUACCUCCCACAUACCACGCUGGUCCCCUUGCUCCCUGCACCUCACUUUCUCUCAUGCCAGAUCAUGAUCUCAGGCCCUGAGCCUGACUCACAGAGGAUCCAUCCCCAGAAUUCUGCCUUCCCCUGCAAAGUGGACUUUCUCCCAUUCUGGGUUUUGAACAGAGAUUCCACGACGCAUGUUUGAUCUCUUCACGCUCCAUUUUCAUUAGUCCUUCACACUCUCCAUCACUUGGAAAAAUACAAACAGCAUGGUUCAGUUUGAAGGUUAAGAACUGACAGUCUCCAUAAACAUUUUUACAAUAAAAGCUGACUUAUCCACUGCCAGAAUUCAAUGCCUGUGGAAGGGGGGUGAGAUGGAAUGGAAGCAGGGAGCGGGAAGUGAAAACCUUCAACAUCAGAAGGAGAGGACAAGUGCUCACCAUUCAACUACUGGGUGAAAGAAAUCCCCAGGGCUUUGCAGGCCAAAAAUGACUGGAUUGAUCUCUGAAUAAUUAAAGUAUUAUAGGGAGGGAGGCAGAAAUCCAAGGAGCAGAACAGCUAAGGUAUAAAUUCCUGACUUAUGGAAAAUACAAAGCAAUCAAUGGUCAUAAGUUAUAAAAUUUCCAGGUCAUGAAUAUUAAAAGUGGCCUAAGAAGAGAUGAUAAAAUAAUUCUCAGGAUGUUUUCAGUAGGGAGAAGCAGAGGGUAAAAUAGAUGGGGGCAAAGGAGACCUAGAAUGUAAGCCACACUCAUCCCAAACCACCCAACAUACUUAAAAGCUGAAAUCACCUAAUUAGCUGGGAUUCAUUUUGAUGGUGUGUGGGCAGAUGAGCUGCAGGGCAUGUAUCCAUUUACUCAUUCAAUAUGUAAUUACUGAGAGCCAAUUACUCCGUUCCAAAGACUGGAAAUACAAUAGGGAGCAAGAUAGACACGAAUCUUACCCUCAUGGAGCUUACAAUCCACAGCAGGGGUUCCCAAAUGUACAUCCUGAUGCCUCAGUCACAUCCCAAACCAUAUAAAUCAGACAGGGAGUCUGGGGAAGGGUCCAGGCACCAGGACCUUAAAAAGAUCCCCAGGCGAUUCCAAUGUGCAGCAAGUUUUGGAAGCUGCCUGGCAUGCUUAACUGUGUUGCCAUGGUUUGCCCAAUCAAUGAGGACAAAAGCCUUGCCCAUUACUCGCUCUUUUCCUGCUCUGUUUGCUAAAACUCCAUAUGCCCCCAAGGACUUCAUUCUCACGUCUUCAGUACGUGUGAAAUUCUCCGCAAGCUGAAUCGACUCUGAGCCUUAUCAAAGGAGUUUCCUAACUGAAAGCACCCAGCCACAUCCUUGAAAGCUAGUAGGGGCCCUCUUUAUUCCAAACCUAAAAUUGGACACAGUACCCAGUGUAUAAUCUGAUAAUGGUAUAAAAUAUUUGAAACCUAGGCCAUCCCAGAAAUCCUAAGCCUCCUGGCUACCCUAUCAACGUGGUCGUUUCAUGGCAUGAACCCUGGGAGCAGACUACCAGCAGUUUUCCAUCUCCAGAUUUCUUUGUUAAGGUAGAAAAAGAGAACAUGCAUGAUAGCUCUUCCCUUCUGUUCACUGUGAGCUUUUAUAUCCAGUUCCCCUGGAAGCGAUCGAUGGAAAUCCAUUAUAGACUUUCUUGGGCCUCCUCCUGGAUUUUCAUCAAUUUGGAAAGGAAACAUUACAUUAAGCCUUUUUCUGGAAGGCCCCAGCAAUUUUUGCAAAUGAGAAAAAAGGAAAAGAGAGUGCAGAAAGGAGUCUGCUUUAAAGUUGUAAUGAACAUGCCAGGAAACAAAACAAAACAAAACAAAACAAAACAAAACAAAACAAAACAAAACAAAACAAAACGCAACAAAAAAUGAUGGAGGCUGAGAAAAAUGGUUCAGGAGAAGUACUUCCUUUGGCUUCCCAUUGUGUGUUCCGAAAGGCAAAGUGGUCCCCACUCGAACCACCAGAGCCUGCCAGUUGGCCAAUUCAGCAGCAUUCCACUACAGAGAUUAAAACCAACUUUAUGACUGUGGUGUAAAUAAUAAAGAGCCUGGCGGGGUUUCCUUCCAAAAUGAAAGCUCGUUUAUUUUCCGAGGUGUAUAAUUUGGUUGUAAAUGUUUCCUUUGGGCCAAAACAUCCUCGAUUGGGCUUUUGCCUGGAACACAUCACUACUUUGCUGGAGAAGAAUGGACUCCGUGUGGUCCUGCCAUGUCUGUCCACCUGGGGCACGGAAGGGUUCCAGUUGGCCUGCCCGUGUUUCAUGUCUGGCGGCAGUGGUCUGCUGGCAGAACUAGGGGUGGGAGGCAGGGGAUGCUGGCCUGGAAUGGCUGCACCAGCUCCUCAGCCCUGUUCCAUCUGUGAAAUGGGCAGGCUCGCAGCUGAUCUCCCUUCUGCCUGUUUUCAGUACCUUUCAGUGGUGGGGAGAACAGAAGAUCAUUAGGAACCCUGAUUCCCGUGAGAUUUGGCUUUUUCCCCCCAGAUCUUUGUGUCCUUAUUUUAUUUAUCUUUUCAAAAAUCAUCCUAAAAAAUUCCACCCAACAAUGAGUAAUAUUUGGAUAAAGGCAACAGGUUCUUUGCAGGGCUCCUGACCUGACCACAUGUACGUGGGGCCUGAACUUGGCCCACGAUGUUUAGCCAAUCUUACCUAAAGAUAAACAGCUUUUUCUCCUGUACAAGCCGCUUAAGAAGUUACAGCACUUUCUACCAGUAUUUUCAUGUUGAUCAACUCUCUUACAUCAUAUACUUUCACCUUGCUUUCCAUUUGUCCCUUCAUGUUAAUUCAAAGCCAGUGCUCGGUUUUGCAGAUAGAAAUAUAUUUAUUCCACUGGCUUCCCCCGCUCACCCCCAAAUGGCAGGUCAUGCAGAACAGGGAAACAUCUGGGGAUCAAGGGAACGGCCUCAAAAGUCAUCAUAUGCCAUCCCUUCAGGUUGUUUCAAACUGUCCCUCUAACACUGGGUUUUGGAUGAAGGAGACGAAAAGAAGUGAACUGAAAGGGGAAAACAAACUGAGCACAUUUCACCCCAGCUACAUGUGAAGAACACUGGUAGAAAUUAGUAUUAUGAGGCCUGGCUCAAGAGGUAAAGUUCAAUGGUCUUAUUUAUUAUGAAAUCACUUGCUGGGAAAUGGUGCAGAAUGCUUUUGCUACACUCAAGAUUCUCCUGAGAUUGAUCUUGAAGCAGUAUGUCAGGCAAGGUGUUGCAUUAAAAAAAUAGCUUCCUCUGGAGUGGAGACAUCUCACUGGUAAGGCCCAUCAUCUUUUCAAAAGAAUAUCAAAUUUUCCAGUGACAUGGUUCUUCCAAGACAGUUCACACACCAGCAAUGCAGUUCAUACUCAGCUUUUUGUAUACUCACCUGCUGCUGGAUAUCAGAUCCCUUGUUGCUUCAAGUGGAGCAACAAGAAAUGUUCAUAAAGAAGAAUCAAGCAACAAGAAAUGCUAGAGAAUAAGAAUAUCUGACAAUUUGUGCACACAAAGAAAUGUACUACUAUGAAUCGGGCAGCCACAACCUCAGUCUCCAAGUAACUUGCUGGCUUUAGCUCAUUUCUUCCGCACUUUUGGACGCUGCCAUCACCCACAUAGCCCACCUGGAACUUGGAAAAUCAGGUUUGCACAGCACUUGGAAACCACAACACUGACACACGAUGAACAAGUCAUAGAGGAAAUUCUGACUUUCCUCUGUAUCAGACCCACAAAGGCAAGGGAUUUAGACCACUCCUGUUGCAUGAAUGUCACUUUUGCACUGUGGUUAGAGGAUUUUGUUCUAGGACACACACAUCACACUGGGAUAAAAGAGAAACCAAGAUCCUACUUCUUUUUGAAAACCGUAAUUCUUUCCUACUUCACUACCUUAUGUCAAUACAUCUGAGCCUCAGGGGCUGUAAGUCACUUCCUGUCGUGGUCAGGUUUCCUCUCCUUUAUGAAGCUUUCAAUACUUCUCACAGUUCCCAGGUGCAAACACGACUUGGCUGAAAGUCAUUUUGAAUUCAGAAUAUUGCCUACAGAGGCCUAGAUGGUGGGUUUUGAGAAAUAAUCAUCCCUCAUGCUAAAGUCUCUCUUUUAAGUUGCUCCUCCUACCUACCUACACACACACACACACACACACACACACACACACACACACACCCCUCACUUUGCUGCCAGAAAUGCUGUGGUUUCAGCCACAGCAUCCGGCGAAGGUGUCCUGGGUCAUUGGAACCCUCCUGACCUGUACAGGCUGCAAGCCACUGAUAACUUCAUCAGAUGGGCAGACAUGAAUCAGGGGUCAGGAAGGGACACGCUGACACUUAAAGACACAACAUUUCCUGAUGCUGUGUUUUUGGUAAGUUGAAAAGUUUACUUCACAGAAGAACAAGAAAUUGCAGACCCAGGCCCUCUUUCUGUCUCUAAAUCUCUUCUUAUUUUUUUUUUGAGACGGAGAUUCACAUUUUUUUGCCCAGGCUGGAGUGCAAUGGUGCGAUCUCGGCUCACUGAAACCUCUGCCUCCCAGGUUCAAGUGAUUCUCCUGCCUCAGCCUCCCAAGUAGCUGGGAUUACAAGCAUGUGCCACCACACCUGGCUUUGUAUUUUCAGUAGAGACGGGGUUUCACCAUGUUGGCCAGACUGGUCUCUAACUCCUGAUCUCAGGUGAUCCACCCGCCUCAGCCUCCCAAAGUGCUGGGAUUACAGGCCUGAGCCACUGGGCCCGGCACUAUACAUAUAUAUAUUUUUAAAUCUCUGUCUUGCUCCCUUCUUUCCCCUGGAAUGGUUUAAAAAAAAAAGAGAGAAGGAUAUUAAUUACAAUGCAGGAGUUAUCAAGUGACUCUAAAUUGCUUUAUUAAAAACCAAGUUCAGUCAGGUGGUUUUACAUUGAAAAGAAAAAAGAAAAGGUAUGAAUGGAGAAUCCCAAAUCAGUUACUUUCUUCUUAUAAGGCCAGGGCACUGGGGGAUUGGACAAGGUCUUAGAACUUGGGAAUUUAAUCAUGGCUUUGCCAUUGUCCAUUUCAGGCAAGUAGGUAAACUUUCCGGGUCUCAGGUUUCUCAUCUAUAAAAUGAAAAAACACGUAUCUGCUCUGCCUCCUUAAAUGUGGUGAAGGCAUUUUGGAAAGCACGACACUCCCUGACCUUCCAGACUUUCUUGGGCACUUUCCAUAUGCAAGUAGCUACACUGCAUGCCAUGGGUAUAACAGAGGAGUAAGCUACAGUUGCUGGUCACAUGGCCCUUCCUCUGUCCUGGCAGGCAGAGUGGGCAGUAGGGAUGCUUCGUACCCACAGAUAGGCAGGGAGCAGGAAGAAUGCAAUAUUCACUCAGUGGAUGAACCAUGCUGUGAGGGUUCAGAAGUGGGCCCAUUUCUACCUCGACAGUUCACAGAAAAGCUUUUUUUUUUUUUUUGAGAUGGAGUCUCGCUGUGUUGCCCAGGCUAAAGUGCAGUGGCAUGAUCUUGGCUCACUGCAACCUCCGCCUCCUGGGUUCAAGUGAUUCUGCUGCCUCAGCCUCCCGAGUAGCUGGGAUUACAGGUGUGUGCCACCAUGCCCGACUAAUUCUUUUUUGUGUAUUUUCAGUAGAGACGGGGUUUCACCAUGUUGGCCAGCUGGUCUUGAACGCCUGACUUCAAGUGAUCUGCCCACCUCAGUCUCUCAAAGUGCUGGGAUUAUAGGCGUGAGCCACAGCGCCCAGCCCACAGAAAAGCUUUUGUGGCCUGUCCAGAAUUUUUGCAACCGGAAAGAGGGCAAAGAACAUCGGAGUGGGCGGGUACAAGGAAUAGUGAGAGUCUAAUUUGGCUGAAAAUGCAGCCUAUAAAUUGAGGAGCAGGAAAGGUGGGUCAGUUCCAGAUAUGGAGUUCCUCAGUAUCUGUUUUGAGUCAUGGAAAGGGGAAUGAUUGGAAGUUUGUGAGCAGAGGAGAGCAACAGUUUAGAAGAUGAAACUAAGUAUUAUUUUGAAUUGACAUGAAAGGAGAGAAAUGAGAAAUGAAAUAAAAUGAAGGAAUUAAGGAAAUCUGGAAAAGUAAGGACCCAUGUAACUACACUAGAGUGUGCAGGGGAACUAUCACUAUUGGGACACACAGGAAUGGGCAGGUACAUGUGGAGGGGAGUAUGGCAGGCAGCUUCUGAAAUGGCCCUCAAUGACCCCAUCUCCUGGAAUACACAGCCUUGUGCAAUCCCCUCCCUUUGAGUGUGGGAUGGAGCAAACGACUUGCUUCUGACAAAUAGGGUAUGGCAAACAUGAUGGAAUGUCACUGAGAUUAGGUGACAAAGACUGUGGAUUUUGUCUUGCUCAUACUCUUUUUCUGGCUUUAUUCACUUACCUGCUCUGAUAAAUUCUGCUGCCAUCCUGAGAGCUGCACCACGGAGAGGCCCACAUGGCAAGGAACUGAGGGCUACCUUUACUGUAGCCUGUGAGAGACCAUGGGCCAAGGGAUCCAGGUAAGCUGUGUCUGAAUUCCGGACCCAUGGAAGUUCUGAGAUAAUAAACGUGUGUUCUUUUGAGCAGCUACGGGGUAGCAUAAGUAUAGGGUAAUUUGUUAUACAGCAAUAGAUAACCAAUACAAGAAGGAAGGAAGAUAUUUAACCAACAUGGGGUGGCAGGGAAUAAGUGCUUUUUGGUAUUAAAAUCCCAGACUCAUGGUCCAAAGUUGUGCAUGUUCUUUCUUCUAGACUUUUUUGACUUUAGGAACAUUUUAUAAAAAGAAACCUCUCCACCACUCCUUUCUUUCAUUGUUUCCAAGGUUGAUUAAAGAAACAUGACCUGAUGUUCAAUUUCAGAAGACUCAGAAGGGCCUUCCAAUAGAAAACUGGCAGGAAAUUAAUGCCAUAUACACCAGGCAAAGCAGAUGUUUCUGAAUAUGACACUUAGGUGAAACACACCUUUCCCUUUUACACAUUUUACUCACUUUUGACUUGUGCAUAGGUAGUUUGCUUCUAGGGGAAUGAAAAGGGGGACAUGUCUUCUCAAUAGAAAAUGUGGUCAAAACCUGGCCAGGGAUUUUGAAGAAACCACAUUAUCUCCUUAUCUGUGUUUAAAUUAUGGAAGUAUAUAGUAAAGGUAAUACCAUGCCUGUGAACUGGAAUAAGCCUUCAUGCUAAAUAAGUAUCUUUAAUAUGUUUUUAUAUGCAAUGUGUUUGCUUAUCAUUAAAUUCUUUUCACUAGUCAUCUUGCUGUGUGAAAACAAAUCACAAAGCUGCCUUACCAAAUAAUUUGUAGGACUUGAGGACAUGUAAUGUCCGAAUAAGUGACCACUAUAUAUUUUCAUUAGCUUAUGCUGGUUUUUUUUUUUUUUGCAUAGGACAUCUUCUACAGUAGUGGUAAUCCUCCAUAUUUCAGCUGACACCUCUAUGUGAGCUGUGGUCAUCUUAGUGUCGAGAGAGUCCCCUCUGCCCACAUGAAAACCAGUCAGAGACGAGCUGUUUUGAAUCAAGUCUCCUGCUCUUGUAGACUUUUAGUUUGACCUUGGAAUGUUCAAGCAGACCUCUGCAUUUAAUCCAAGAUUGAGGCAAGUUUUCUCUCUGCCUAGGUUUAUCUUGUCUGUCUGUGAACAAAAGAGAGGAUAGCAAAGUACCUUGUUUGGAUUUGUCUAUAAAUGUGACCUUCCUAAACUGGCUAACAGGGCUCUCUUUCUGACCUGCAGAUGAAUCACCAGUGCCUACACUGGAGAUGUGGUAAUAGACAAACACUCCCUUCUGCAAAUACCAUGAGCAUUGAGGUCUAUCCUCAUUCCACUAAGCAAACAUAUUAUGUGGAAAAUUGAGAAACAAUUCCAUCUUCCCUUCAAAUAUCUAUUUCAGGAAAACUGUGCCUGCUAUUCUAACUGCAGAAAUACUCUGAACCUCUAAGUCUUGUCAUUCCAUAUCAAAUGGGUUGUAACAAUUCCUACUGAAACCAUGUUUUGCUGAUUAGUUAAUGGAUAGACAUAGUGCAAACAGAUGCUUAACGGUGAUGGAUAUAGCUUAAAAUAUUGGGCAUGCUUAAUUUCUUCCCUAGGUUUUGGCAUUAGUGAAGGGCUAAUUUUUUUUUAUUCAUAGCUUAUAUUUGAAAAGUGAGGGGAUGCAUGGCAGUCAAUGGCAUUCAGAUGGUCGUUUUACUGCUUUUAUAAUAAGAGAGACCUAGAGGUCAAGCAGGAAUAAGACAAACAGCUAAGAGGACAGCCCUAAGUGUGGAACACUGCAGAAUCUUAAAAGCAUAAGCCAUAUUGAGUAAUGAGGCAGAGAGGGCUAGCUUUCUACCAAAAAUACGUGUCUUUGUGCCAAGCUGGAGGCAACCCUUAUCAGGGAAUACAUUUCCAAGUCAUCCCGCAUCAAAGGAUGAUCUAUGUGAGCAGAAGUGAUGUGUGUCACUUCUGAGCUGGGACUGCUAAGAAGACAUCAGGGCCUCCAUCAUCCUGGGUCCCUGAAUGACUGCAUGGAACUGACCACUAAGAAAGCUGAGGGUGAAAGAUGUUAAAUGUUGUGCCCAUGGUCACAGCCAGUUAGUGACAGAGUAGGGACUCAAAGUUAUGUCUUCUGAAUUCCAAGGCAAGAGUUCUUUUUUGGUAAUAGACAAGGAACUUCUUCCCCAAGCCACGCAGUCACAGUGAUUAAAAGCAUGGACUCUGGUGUCCAGACAGCCAAAGUUCAAAUCUUGCCUCUACCUCUGCUAUCUGUGUGACUUGGACAAGGUACUUAACCUUAUUGUGUAAAAUGAGGAUAACAAUAAUGCCUACCUCAAGGUGUUGUUUUGACGGUUAAAUAAGUCAAUAUUAAUCAAAUGCUUAAAAAAGUGUCUGGCCCACAGUAGGGACUAUUUAAGUAUAUGACAAAAACAAGUAGAUAAAAUCAGGUGAAAUCUGUAUAACUACCAGCUCCCACUACUUCACACAUGAACAGUAAGGAACCCGAUGUCUUAAGCUAUGGCUGCCAACCUCACCUAUCAAGGCUCAAGUAAUUCCUACCCCUCAUCUGAUGCUUUUAUACCAACCUUAAUAAGCAUAGAAACAACAGCCUAGAAGCCAUCAUGCCAAUGAGCAAAGAGUCUCACCUCCAUUCAAGAGAAGUGCAGGACCAUUCCCAUCAUGGCUCCCCCAGCUGCCAUCAAGAGACCAGGCUCUCCAUUCUACACAUCUCUGAACACUUAAUUGGACUCAGCCUGUCCUCCUUCACCUUCCCAAACCUUUUACUGGACCUUCUCGGGCUUUUCCUCCAUGAUAAUCAAUCUCUCAUUUUCCACUUCUCUGAACAUCCCCUCAACCUUCUCCUGGAUCUUCUUGGUUCCAUGGCUAACUCCUGACUUUUUCUUCCCCUUCCUCCUGAAAAAUAAAAACAAAAACUGAACAAACAAAUCCUGCUCCUUUCAAGAUGCUGGAUGUUCCAACUGCUCUGUGGAGUUUCUGGUCAUUCUCCGUUCAUCUAAAAGCCCAGCUUCUGGCUUAGUCUUCUUUACCAUUGACCUCCUGUUGUCCUUUUUGGUGACUUCAACAUCCAUGUAGAUGACCUCCCCAGUUCUUGGACCUCCUCACCUCCCAUACCCUUUCCCUCUACUGCAUCUCAACCACCCUCUUCCCUAGACCUUUUGUCAGUAAACCUUCUACAUAAAGACACUUUCCAUUCUUUUAACUCAUUUUUCCAGUUUUAAAACUCAUUGAGAUCUCCAAGCCACUGCCAUUUUCUCACCUCCCUUCAGCCUUCUCUUGUUUUUACUUUCCUUCUUCAACAAGUGUUCUUUUAUUUUAAUCAUUUCCUUGCAACGGCCCUCAACUCUGCUUGCCCCUUUCUCUUCUCCUUAUAUAUUUGACUGGCAACACCUCCAUUUUGGUUGAACUCAGUGAUCCAACUUCUGUAGGUUAGUAGCCAAGCAGGUGGGUGAUGGGAACAAUAAAAGCAUCCAACUUGACAAACUUGCUUUAUUUUAGAUUCAUGUCCUCAAACCCUCAAAUGAAUACUAAGCACUGUUCCAAAAUCCAACUGCCCUUCCUUCACAACCUUACUUGCUCCAGUAUCCAAGAUGACCAUUUUAUAUCUUCUCUCCUCAAACGUCCUACUUGUGCUCCUGCCCUCACUUCAUAUUUCACUGAUGGAACAGGAGUCAUGAGAUGGUAACUCUUUUAUUACCAUCACUCUAUUUAUACUCCUGUCUGCAUAGCUCAUUUUCUUUCUCUUCCCAAUUGUUACACAGAACAAGCUUUCCUGCUUCUGUGAAAGGCCAAUGCUCACACAUAGCCCCUUGCCUUCUUGAAGAAUUCACUCCUCAUUUCUCCUCUCUCAGUUUUGCAUCAUCAAUCUCUCCCUUUCUAUUGGAUCGUUCUCAUCAGCCUCACAGAUGCCCUGGUAUCUCUGAUCUUACAUGAACCAAAAACUCUUUUUUGACCACAUGUUCAUAUAUCUCCCCUUUUUAUAGUAAAACUUUUGCAAGACUUAUUUGUAUAUUCUGUCUCCAUUUCCUCACCUUCCAUUUGUUCCUUUACCCAAUAGACACUGGAGUCUGUUCCCAUGAUGCCUCUGCAACUGCAGAGCAGUUGGUGACCUCAUUCAGGUCACCAGUCAUGGCUGCGUUGCCCAGUUGAAUGAGCACUUCUCUGGCCUCAUCUUUUUUGUUCUCACAGCAGCAUUCGAUAGAAGUCCUCUCUCCUUAAGGCAUUCUUCUCCCCUGGCUUCUGUGACACACCUCUUGGUUCUCCUUUUACCACUUUCAUCAUGACACCUCACUCUCAGCUCCCUGUCCACUUCACAGCCUCCCUGCUAUUAUCUUCACUUACAUGUCCCAGAGGCAUCUCAUAUUCCACAUGUCCCAUAUAAAUCCACUGACAUGAACUCUACCCUUGUGAAACUGGAAGCUGUCUUUGACUCUUCACUUCUUAACUCUGAAAUGCAAUCCAACAGCAUAUCCUGUUGGCUCUGUCUCAGAACUGUGCCUUGCAUCCAUCCACUCUUCUCUACCCUGGUCCACAUCCCAUCACCUCUUACCUGAAUUAUUGUGAAAUUUUCUAACAUAUCUAUGUUCUUCCCUCUCAUUAUCCACUGAUCAGAUGGAGCCAUCAUUUAGAAGCUCUUCAAUGGCUGCUUCCUCACCAAUCCUAGAACAGCCAUAUUCUUUAUCAUGACCUGCAAAAUCCUUGCUUUUUUCUGCAAGUUCAUGUGCCACUUUCUUCCUUACACACUGUUCUCCAGUCUCUUUUCCAUCCCUUAGUCAUGCCAAAGUCCUUCCUAUCUCAAGGCUUUGGUGUUUGUGAUUCCGUCUGCCUGACUGGCUCUCCUGAGUUCUUUGCAGAGCUGGUCCUUUUAUUCCCCCAGCUCAGGACUCAAGUGUCACUUUUCCAUCAAGUCCUUCCUUGACCACCCUCUUUUAGUAGGAACUCCCAGUUAUUCCCUAUCUUUUGCUCCCUGUUUAUGUCCUGCUAAGCACCUAUCACAAUCUAUAAUAAUUCCUUUAUUCUGAAUCAAUUAUUGUCAGUUUUCUUUCUAGAACAUAAGCUUGUUCUCUAUUGAAUCUCCAGUGCCUAGCACAAUAUCUGCUGAUCACAGCCACGCGAUAUGAAAGUGCUGAAUGAAUGAAUGGAAUUGUAGAAUGCCAUGUGGCUGGGCAGUGCUCAAUGCUUAUAUGUACAUUAUUUCAUUUGCCUUACUGCAGUUUGGUUGUAUAUUAAAUAAAAGAGACAAUUCAUGUCCAUUUAAUUACCUUUCUGCUCCUGUAACAACCUAAGAGCAACCACCAUGUAGCAGGAUCCCAGCACUUUAGAUGUACACUUACUCUAAUUCUCUUUAGCUAAGUGGGGCUAUAAAAACUUUUACAGAUGUUCAGAAAUGGGGGAUUGUGUGGCUUCAUGAAAGAUGACUUGCUUUGGAGUCUGGUACUGGCUGUAGGAUAAAUGAAUGGUAUGGUCUUAGCCAAAUCUUUUAAUUUCUCCAGGUUUUAGAUUCUUUGUCAAUGAAAUGAGACAUUGGGGCUUGGCUUUCUUGCCUACAACAACAUUCUAGAAUUUGGUGAGUGUCUGCAACCUGCCUUCUAAACAGAGUGCCUCACCAUGGAGUGCAGGUGGGUUGGAGCACAGAUGAAGCCCCGGUCCAACCUGGGCAUUCCUGCAGCCAUGUGCAGUGACCCUUGUGUAUGUGAGUACCUGUCAUGUGCCCACGUAUCCUGGUGGCACAAAAGGUACUUCAUGUAGAUUGUCAGGACCAAGACACAGAACGUUCUUGGGGCACACCACAAUAAUUCCCCCACUAGCAUUCACCUUAAGAUGAAAGAAGUAAGUAAAACCCUUCUCAGAUCUCAGGGAGGACCCUGCAGAUGGAUCCCUGAAAACUUAAGGCCAAGGCCAUUCAUGCCCAUUAUUGGGUUCGUCCAGACCUUAGCAUUAAUCCUGGCCUUGGUGAAUAAGAAGUGAAAGAACCAUUGUGGGGCAUGAGAGAACCACACCAGACAGAGUUUCAGGGCAAUGAGUCCCUGGGGAGAACCUGGAACAGAACUUCGAAUACCUAGUCUGCCACAGAUUUUUUCCUGAGAACUUGCCUUUCAUUAUUUCUAUUUAAUACCUGCUGUUCAAUGUUUAGAUUCACUCUCUUUGUGAUCCCAAUGCCUCUUCAAAUGUUUCCAGUUUUUUUCUAGUUGAUGUGGAUUCCCCAGAUUUAUCUCAUUUCAUGAUGUCUUCGGAAUUGCAUGUUGUGCCACCAUCACACUUCACACUCUCAGUAAGGAGCUCUCAGUUGUCUCACCUGGUUCGUGUCUUCCUGAAUGUACCAGUGAGGGGAGCAGAGAGGGAAGGAUGCACUGAGUUGUUAGCCUUUUUCCAGCAAAGUAUGGAGAGCUGAACCUUUUCAGGAGUAAUGGGUUAAACAGAAGUGGAUGACUUGCCCACUCUUUAGAACGUUGUAUCCUCUAUGGGCUGAUCAACUGCUAUCAUGAGUGAACCUGAAAGGAUUAUUCUGGAUUGGUCAGUUUUCAGGAGGCUGGUCAUUUUGAUCGUAGAUGUGACUUUCUCCACCACCUGGGUCAGACUCCAUGUGAAGCCAAAAACAUCCUGUAUAUUAUAAAUAAUUUUACUUUUUUCCUUCUUGGAAAGUUAAUAACAUUCUUCAUUUUCUGAUAGGCAUAAAAACAACUUUGUUGUUUUCUAGUUGAGUUCUAGUAUCUGGAAAUGCUAAUAAGUCUGUGAGAUUUUCACACUGGAAUUAUGUGGAGUGAUGUCCAUGUGGGUAUUGGGGAACUAUGUAUAAUCGAUCCAGGAGUUUAAUUUGGCCCCAACCCUUAAAAAAAUGUUUACCCUACUGAAGGGCAGCUCCAAAUAAGUUAAUGAGUAAUGGGCUAUGAAUUUUGCCAUUUUGCCUGAUUUUAGUGAGGUGGCCCUCUGGUUUGAAGUAGAUUGCCUCUCAUUAAUGACCUUCUCAAGAACUUUCAGAGCCUAGGGAGAGGGCUAGAGCAUAAAAAUAUAAUUCAAAUUAGUCCCCAAAAGUCACCAUGUCCAGUAGAAGUCUCUCAGGCCCAUGGCUGGACUUCUGGGAAUGUUUGGGCAAUGUAACCACAGUGAUGUUUAUUAAAUGGAAUGUCCACCUCACAGUGCUCUCAAAAGUAUUCUUUUUUUUAAAUUUUAAGUUAUUGCUCCUCUUUAUUGUAAACGAUGUCCUAUAAAGAAGAUAUAUGUCUACAAUUGAGCUUUGAAGGAGGACCAUGGAGCCAGUUCCUUUUAAGGGGAAUGAAGUCAAGCAGUAAAUUUGCUGGUCACUCUUUUCAUAUGGACCGCAUCUCAGCCAGCAGUUGGUCUUUGAUGUUGUAACAAUGGCACUGGGACCUGAGGCAGAGGAGCACCCCCAUAAUACUGAAACCAGCCUGCAUUCAUUCUAAUUUGGAGAACAAUCUGUGGGAUAGUACGCACAUCAGGGAGCCCAGAGAGUGAACUCCAGGGCUGUGGGUAAUCUUUCCCAGUGAAAAUCAGCCAUCUCUUCUACACCAUGUACCCUGCCUGCUGCAUUCUUUACUCUUUUAUUAAAAUUGAAGUAUGAUAUUCCUACAGAAAUAUACACAUAUAUAACUCUACAACUCAAUGAGAUUUCACAAACUGAAGACACCUAGGCAACCAAUGCCUAGAUCAAGAGGCAAAACAUUACCAGCACCCUAGCUGCCCUCCUUGGACUCCCUUUUCAUCACUUCCCUGACAAAGGUAACUCUCUUCCAACAGCACAGGUUCCUUUUUCCUGGUUUUGAACUUUACCUAAACAGAAUUAUCCAGCAUGUACUUUACUGUGCCUGGUUUCCUUCACUCAACAUUACAUUUGUGAAAUUGUGCAUGUUGCAUAUAGUUGUCAUUUGUUCAUUCCCACUGUGUACACUUAACUACCUUAUUAUCCAUUCUGUUGAUGGCAUUGGGGUUGUUUCAAGGUUGGGGCCAUUUUAAACAGUGCUGCUAUGAACAUUAUUUUUUAGGUCUUUGAGUGCAUUAGUGAAUAGAUUUCUGUUGGGCACAUACUCAGGUGGAAUUGCUGGGCCAAGGGCAUGUUGAUAUGUUGGCUGUGUCCCCAUUCAAAUCUCAAUUGAAUUGUAUCUCCCAGAAUUCUCAUGUGUUGUGGGAGGGACUUCAUGUGUGCUGCAGGGGCAGGGUCCUCAUGAAGAACCUCUUCUAGGGCAGUGCAGAAGGGAAAUGUGGGACCGGAGCCCCCACACAGAGUCCCUACUUGGGCACUGCCUAGUGGAGCUGUGAGAAGAGGGCCACUGUCCUCCAGAUCCCAGAAUGGUAGAUCUACCGACAGCUUGCACCAUGUGCCUGGAAAAGCUGCAGACACUCAAUGCCAGCCCCUGAAAGCAGCUGGAGGGAGGCUGUACCCUGCAAAGCCCCGGGGGCAGAGCUGCCCAAGACCAUGGGAACCCACCUCUUGCAUCAGUGUCACCUUGAUGUGAGACCUGGAGUCAAAGAAGAUCAUUUUGGAGCUUUAAAAUUUAACUGCCCUGCUGGAUUUCAGACUUGCCUGGGCCCUGUAAUCCCUCUGUUUUGGCCAGUUUCUCCCAUUUGGAAUGACUGUAUUUACCCAAUACCUGUACCCCCAUUGUAUCUAGGAAGUAACUAGCUUGCUUUUGAUUUUACAGGCUCAUAGGCAGAAGGUACUUGCCUUGUCUCAGAUGAGACUUUGGACUGUGGACUUUUGGGUUAAUUCUGAAAUAAAUUAAGCCUUUGGGGGACUGUUGGGAAGGCAUGAUUGGUUUUGAAAUGUUAGGACAUGAAAUUUGGAGGGGCCGGGGUGGAAUGAUAUGACUUGGUUGUGUCCCCAAUCAAAUCUCAACCGAAUUGUUUCUCCCAGAAUUCCCAUGUGUUGUGGGAAGGACCCAGGUGGAGGCAAUUGAAUCAUGGGUGCCAGUCUUUCCCAUGCUAACUCAAUGAAUAUCCCAGCAUUAGUUGGAAAGGUGAGAAGUUUGUUAACAUAAUUGUCUUCUACUGUAUUACUCCUAAGAAUUGUAACUCUGAGCAGGUCCUUGUUAGAAGGAUGGCCGAGACGGGCACAUUGGCUCACGACUGUAAUCCCAGCACUUUGGGAGGCCGAGGUGGGUGGAUCACAAGGUUAAGAGAUCGAGACCAUUCUGGCCAACAUGGUGAAACCCCGUCUCUACUAAAAAUAUAAAAAUUAGCCGUGCGUGGUGGUGGGUGCCUGUAAUCCCAGCUACUCAGGAGGCUGAGGCAGUAGACUUGCUUGAACCCAGGAGGUGGAGGUUGCAGUGAGCCAAGAUUGCAUCACUGCACUCCAGCCUGGGUGACACAAUGAGACUCCAUUUCAAAAAAAAGAAAAAAGGGAAGUACAAUAUACUAUGCACAGAGCUUUGGAACUCCUGUCCCCAGGCAUGUUCUGUUUCUCUUGUUGCAUCUGGGGAAGGAAGGUAGGAAACGGUGCCCUUUCAUCAGGGAAAGUGGUCGCAGGCUUAUAUUGUCCAAGCCCCGUGAGUGAUGAAUAACGUAUUUGCAGGCACAGUUCCUACCAUGUAGCACACAAUUUGUAAGCAGUGAAAGGACAACCAUUCUGAAAAAAGAUGGAAAGUGAUGGGCAUGUGUUUCUUGACUCAGAAACAACCCUUGGUGGGGGCCGAAUCAUGUGCUGCCAGAGCAACCCAUAGGAUGACAUGUGAGAGCUUUCUCCAGCUCUAACUUCUCAGUGGCAGGGCCCUCUGGGACUCACCCUUUCUCUUGGCCUGACUCUGGCCACACAGCCAGGCUGAGCAGCUUCUCAACACAGCCCUGGUGAUGUUAACUAUUCUUAUCCCAUUUUACUGAAUGGGACACAGAGAUGUAGAGAAGUGUAAGGAUUUUGCUUAGGGGCAGAGACUUAACUGAGGAGCAGAACUGGAAUCAAAACAACUCCAAAGCCCAUGACCACUUUUUGGCUAGUCUGUUGGAUCUUGUGACUUGCUUUGGCUGAUGAAAUGGUAACAGAUAUGACUGAUGUGUAAUCCCAUCACCAUGAGAGAAAUGUGUGGCAGGUAACCUGCUGGUCACAAAAGAAUGGGAGACCCAUAGUGUAAACCUAGACCCAAUCCAUAGCUUAAAGCCAUGCCCUGCCUAGAUCUACUGAACCUCAGCUGACCCAUGGACCCAUGAGUGUGAGAGUACAUGCUUAUAAUUGCAGACCGUUGAGAUUUGGAGUAGUUGUCCUACAGCAUUAUUAUUAGGCAAUAGCUGGAUAACACAGGACCUGUAUUAAGUGCUUUCUGGGACCUGCAACUUGCAAGAAAAACAUGCAUGUAGACCAGUGUUUCUCAAACCAUGACCUGCAUAUGAUUAAUCUGGGGACCUUGUCAAAAUACAGAUUCUGUAGGAAAAAAUAUUUGCAAACUAUCAGAUGCAAAAAAUAUUUGCAUCUGAUAAAGGGCUAACAUACAGAAUCCACAAGGAACUCAAACAACUCAGCAAGAAAAAACCAAAUGACCUCGUUAAAAAGUCGACAAAGGACAUGAACAGGCAUUUUUCAAAAGAAGACAUACAAGAGGACAACAAACAUAUGAAAAAAUGCUUUACAUAACUAAUUAUCAGAGAAAUAAAAAUUAAAACCACAAUGAGAUACCAUUUUACACAAGUCAGAAUAGCUAUUGUUAAAAAAUCUAAAAGCAACAUAUGUUGGCGAGGACAUGGCUAAAAGGGCACACUUAUACACUGUUGGUGGGAAUGUAAAUAAGCACAACCUUUAUAGAAAACAGUAUGGAGAUUUCUCAAAGUACCAAAAAGAGAACUACCAUUCAAUCCAGCAAUCCCACUCCUGAGUAUAUACCCAAAGGGAAAGAAAUCAAUACAUCAAAAAGAUACCCGCACUCAUCUGUUUAUAUCACAGCACUAUUCACAACAGCAAAGACAUGGAAUCAACCUAAAUGUCCAUCAGUGGAAGACUGGGUAAAGAAAUAUACCAUGGAAUACUACUUAGACAUAAAAAAGAAUGAAGUCAUGUCUCUCGCAGCAACAUGGCUGGUACCGGAGGCCAUUAUGCUAAGCAAAAUAACUCAGAAACAGAAAGUCGAAUACCACGUUCUCCCUUAUAAGUGGGGGCUAAACAAUGGGCAUACACGGACAUACAAAGAGUAAUCAGACACUGGGGACUCCAAAAGGUGGGAGGUGGAGGGGAUGAGGGCUGAAAAAUUACUCACUGGGUACAAUAUUCACUACUCAGGUGAUGAGUACACUAAAAGCCCAGACUUCACUACUACACAAUAUACGCACCUAAGAAACCUGCACCUGUACCCCCAAAAUAUAUAUAAGUAAACAUUUUUAAAAUGCAGAUUCUGAUUCAGUAGUUCUGGGCAUGGCUUAAAACUCUUAUUUUAUAACAAGCUUUCAGGAGAUGCUAAUACUGGUGGUCUGUAGAUCGCAUUCUGGGCGCAAGGGCUGAGAAGCCAUUCUGAGCUUCUUGUCUAUCUCUGGGCCAUGAAUGCACCUAGUGAACAUUUGGGCAAUGGAUGGGUUACCUUAUGUGUAAGAGAAGGACAGUAUUUUCCCUCAUAAUGAGAAUCCUAUGUGAGUCACUAACAAUCUGUAUUUUCCUAUGUCCCAUGUGCCCAGAAGGUCAGAAUUUCCUCAAUUCAUUUCUUGGGCUAAGAAUUAGGAACAUCUAAUGGGAUCUCCUUUUUUUUUUUUUUUUUUUGAGAUGGAGUUUCGCUCUUGUUGCCCAGGCAGGAAUGCAAUAGCACAGUCUUGGCUCAUUGCAACCUCUAGCUCCCUGGUUCAAGCAAUUUUCCUGCCUCAGCCUCCCGAGUAGCUGGGAUUACAGGAAUGCACCACCACGCCCGGCUAAUUUUGUAUUGUCAGUAGAGAUGGGGUUUCUCCAUGUUGGUCAGGCUGGUCUCGAACUCCCGACCUCAGGUGAUCCACCCGCCUUGGCCUCUCAAAGUGCUAGGAUUACAGGCAUGAGCCACCGCGCCCGGCAGGAUCUCCAUUUUUAUUUUUGCUCUUCCUACUCCCUGAAAUUUGAAGAUUCCCAGCAAUAAACUUGGCUUCCAAUUCAUGUUGAGCUCAAAAUCCAUACCAGGUUUCUAUGUCACAAUGUAAUUGAGGCCCCAGGCAGGAGAUACGAAAUCUAUUUCUGGUUUUCUUAAUUUCCACUCAUGGGGACAAGGAAUGGGGCAAGAGAAUCAAGGAAUAUUGGACAGCAGGACACGGGAGAAGUAGAGUUUUCUUCUGGGACACUUUUCCGGCCUGUUUUCUUUUUUUUUUUUGGUCCAGCAUCGAAUUUUCUUUUCACAACCCCCACCAUGAUGGUCACUACAAUCAAUGUCUGUCACCACCAUCACUUGGAGAAUCGAGACCCAUGAGACUACUUUGGGCAUUCUGAAAAGAAAGGAGAAUUCCUUCUAAGGAGACAGUAUCUUCUCUCCUUCUUUCAGUAUUUCAUAAUAUACUGUAGUUCAUACACUUACAUUUUAACCAAGAAAAAUAUCAUCCUGGGAUUCAACCUUCAAAUGCUGUGAAGUUUUCCAAGGGAGUACCUGGAUUGUUGUAGAUCCUAAACACUUUAUGUGAGUGCACCAAAAAGAUUUCCAGAAUUUCUUAAUAAGCUAAACAUACAACUGCUAUAUGAUCCAACCAUUCUGCUCCAAAGUAUUCACCCAAGAGAAAUGAAAGCAAAUGUUCACACAAAGGCUUAUACCUGAAUGUUCACAGCAUCUUUAAUAGUUGCCAAAUAGGAAAUAACCUAAAUGGGUCAAUGGGUAAACAUAUGGUGGUAUAUCCACACAAUAGAAUAUUAAUUGGUAAUAAAAAGGAACAAAUUAUCUAUGCACAGAACAACAUGAAUGAAUCUCAACAUGAGCAAAAAGCCAUAUCAUGCAAUGCUAUGCAUUCUGUAUUCCACUUAUAUAAAAGUCUAGGAAAUCCAACACUAAUCUACAGUGAGAGAAGGCAGAUCAGUGGUUGCUUGGAGAUUGCUGAAGCUCACAGAGGAGCACAAGGAAACUUUUCAGAUGGUAGAUUUAUUCAUCAUCUUGACUAUGGUGAUGGUUUUACAGGUGUCAGUAUUGUCAAAUUUUUCAUUUAAAUAUGUACAGUUUAUUAGUUGUCAAUUGCACUUCAACAAAGCUGUAUUUAAAAAAAUAAUAAUAAAAUGACUGCCACUCUU